rnacentral:tRNA from 7 species
GGGCCCGUCGUCUAGCCUGGUUAGGACGCUGCCCUUACGAGGCAGAGGUCCUGGGUUCAAAUCCCAGCGGGCCCACUA